rnacentral:rRNA from 1 species
CCUACGGGAGGCAGCAGUGAGGAAUAUUGGUCAAUGGGCGCGAGCCUGAACCAGCCAAGUCGCGUGAGGGAUGACUGCCCUACGGGUUGUAAACCUCUUUUGCCGGGGAGCAACGGGCGCCACGUGUGGCUCCACUGAGAGUACCCGGAGAAAAAGCAUCGGCUACCUCGGGGCCAGCAGCCGUGGUAAUACGGGGGAUGCGAGCGUGAUCCGGUUUUAUUGGGUUGAAAGGGUGGGUAGGCGGAUCGUUAAGUCAGGGGUCAAAUUGAGGGGCCCAACCCAUUCCCGCCAUUGAAACUGGCGCUCUUGAGUGGAAGAGAAGUAGGCGGAAUGCGGGGUGUAGCGGUGAAAUGCAUAGAUAUCACGAAGAACCCCGAUUGCGAAGGCAGCAUGCCGGCUUCCGACUGACGCUGAAGCACGAAAGCGUGGGGAUCGAACAGGAUUAAUACCCUAGUAGUC